CCUACGGGAGGCUGCAGUGGGGAAUAUUGGGCAAUGGGCGCAAGCCUGACCCAGCAACGCCGCGUGAAGGAAGAAGGCUUUCGGGUUGUAAACUUCUUUUGAAAGGGAAGAGGAGAAGACGGGUACUUUCGAAUAAGCCACGGCCAACUAAGGGCCAGCAGCAGCGGUAAUACGUAGGUGGCAUGCGUUGUCCGGAUUUACUGGGUGUAAAGGGCGUGUAGCCGGGCUGACAAGUCAGAUGUGAAAUCCGGGGGCUCAACCCCCGAACUGCAUUUGAAACUGUUGGUCGUGAGUAUCGGAGAGGCAAGCGGAAUUCCUAGUGUAGCGGUGAAAUGCGUAGAUAUUAGGAGGAACACCAGUGGCGAAGGCGGCCUGCUGGACGACAACUGACGGUGAGGCACGAAAGCGUGGGGAGCAAACAGGAUUAGAUACCCCUGUAGUC
rnacentral:rRNA from 1 species